GGUGACCGUGGCGGUGUACGUGGAAGCGGUGGUGGAGGAGGAGGAUGAGGUAGUCAACACUGUUAUAUAUAUAUUUUUUUAAAUUGGAGUAGUCCCCAAAAUAUAGGGACAUAUAAAAAAGACAACUCUCUUCCGCAGAGUAGCUAUUGACAUUAUAGUUGCGCAGGAACUUUGUUGACUCUAGAGAACCUCGGGCCAAUCGCACAUCCUCAUGACGGCGACUUUGCAUUUGGAUGUCAUCCAUAUCAACUUUUGGUGCCAGUUUCUGCACCUACCAUGGUGACCACGGGUAAUGGGGAAUCAGAGUUCCAUUCCAUACAGGGACCCUGAGAAAUGGCUACCACAUGCAAGGAAGGCAGCAGGCGCGCAAAUGACCCACUCCCGACGCGGGAAGGUAG